rnacentral:rRNA from 1 species
UACGAAGGUGGCAAGCGUUACUCGGAAUUACUAGGCGUAAAGGGCAGGUAGGUGGUCUGAAAAGUCUGUUGUGCAAGCUCCCGGCUUAACUGGGAGAGGUCAACAGAUACUAUCAGGCUUGAGUAUGGGAGAGGGUACUGGAAUUCCCGGUGUAGCGGUGAAAUGCGCAGAUAUCGGGAGGAACACCAAUGGCGAAAGCAGGUACCUGGACCAUUACUGACACUCAGCUGCGAAAGCUAGGGGAGCAAACAGG